GCUGGGCAUGGUGGCACGUGCCUGAAGUCUCAGCUAUUCAGGAGGCUGAGGCAGUCAGGUUCCUUGAGCCCAGGAGUUCUGGGCUGUAAAGCGCUAUGCCAAUUGGGGAUCCACGCUAAAUACGGCAUUAAUAUGGUGACCUCCUGGGAGCAGGGGCCGCCAGCUUGCUUAAGGAGGGGUGAACCAGCCCAGGUUGGAAACGGAGCAGGUCAAAACUCUGGUGCUGUCAGUAGUGGGAUUGCGCCUGUGAAAAGCCACUGCACUCCACCCUGGGCAACAUAGCAAGAACCCAUCUCU
rnacentral:SRP_RNA from 1 species